rnacentral:rRNA from 1 species
UAUUUUGACUAUACAAAGGUAUUGUAAUAAGAUUUUAAUUGAAUGCUAAGAGAAUGGAAUUUCAGGGAAAAACUGUUUUAAACUUAAAAAUUAAAUUUAUUUUAAUUUGUGAAGAAACAAUUAUUUAAAUUAAGGACAAGAAGACCCUAAGAAUUUUAAAAAUAAUAAUUUUAAUAAAUAAAAUUAUUAUUUUUUAGUUGGGGCAACUAAAAAAGAUUAUAAACUUUUUAUUUAAUAAAAUGAUCCAUUAUUAAUGAUAAUUUGAUAAAAAUACUCUAGGGAUAACAGCGUAAUAAUUUUUGAUAGAACAUAUAGACAAAAUAGUUUGCGACCUCGAUGUUGGAUUAGGAUACUUUUUUAAUGAAGAUGUUAAAAAAAGAAGUUUGUUCAACUUUUAAAGUCCU